AUUGAACGCUGGCGGCAGGCCUAACACAUGCAAGUCGAACGGUAGCACAGAGAGCUUGCUCUCGGGUGACGAGUGGCGGACGGGUGAGUAAUGUCUGGGAAACUGCCUGAUGGCGGGGGAUAACUACUGGAAACGGUAGCUAAUACCGCAUAACGUCGCAAGACCAAAGAGGGGGACCUUCGGGCCUCUUGCCAUCAGAUGUGCCCAGAUGGGAUUAGCUAGUAGGUGGGGUAACGGCUCACCUAGGCGACGAUCCCUAGCUGGUCUGAGAGGAUGACCAGCCACACUGGAACUGGGACACGGUCCAGACUCCUACGGGAGGCAGCAGUGGGGAAUAUUGCACAAUGGGCGCAAGCCUGAUGCAGCCAUGCCGCGUGUAUGAAGAAGGCCUUCGGGUUGUAAAGUACUUUCAGCGGGGAGGAAGGUGUUGAGGUUAAUAACCUCAGCAAUUGACGUUACCCGCAGAAGAAGCACCGGCUAACUCCGUGCCAGCCGCCGCAGUAA
rnacentral:rRNA from 1 species